CCCGGGUCUUGUACACACCGCCCGUCACACCAAGGGAGCGGGUUCUGCCAGAAGUAGUUAGCCUAACCGCAAGGAGGGCGAUUACCACGGCAGGGUUCGUGACUGGGGUG
rnacentral:rRNA from 1 species